rnacentral:rRNA from 1 species
AGUGAACGCUGGCGGUAGGCCUAACACAUGCAAGUCGAACGGAAGCACAGUAAGAGCUUGCUCUUACGGGUGGCGAGUGGCGGACGGGUGAGGAAUACAUCGGAAUCUACUUUUUCGUGGGGGAUAACGUAGGGAAACUUACGCUAAUACCGCAUACGACCUACGGGUGAAAGCAGGGGAUCUUCGGACCUUGCGCGAUUGAAUGAGCCGAUGUCGGAUUAGCUAGUUGGCGGGGUAAAGGCCCACCAAGGCGACGAUCCGUAGCUGGUCUGAGAGGAUGAUCAGCCACACUGGAACUGAGACACGGUCCAGCCUCCUACGGGAGGCAGCAGUGGGGAAUAUUGGACAAUGGGCGCAAGCCUGAUCCAGCCAUCCCGCGUGGGUGAAGAAGGCCUUCGGGUUGUAAAGCCCUUUUGUUGGGAAAGAAAAGCAGCAGGUUAAUACCCCGCUGUUCUGACGGUACCCAAAGAAUAAGCACCGGCUAACUUCGU